rnacentral:rRNA from 1 species
CCUACGGGUGGCUGCAGUGGGGAAUAUUGGACAAUGGGGGGAACCCUGAUCCAGUCAUGCCGCGUGUGUGAAGAAGGCCCUCGGGUUGUAAAGCACUUUCAGUGAGGAAGAACGCCUGGUGGUUAAUACCCAUCAGGAAAGACAUCACUCACAGAAGAAGCACCGGCUAACUCCGUGCCAGCAGCCGCGGUAAUACGGAGGGUGCGAGCGUUAAUCGGAAUUACUGGGCGUAAAGCGCGCGUAGGUGGCUUGAUAAGCCGGUUGUGAAAGCCCCGGGCUCAACCUGGGAACGGCAUCCGGAACUGUCAAGCUAGAGUGCAGGAGAGGAAGGUAGAAUUCCCGGUGUAGCGGUGAAAUGCGUAGAGAUCGGGAGGAAUACCAGUGGCGAAGGCGGCCUUCUGGACUGACACUGACACUGAGGUGCGAAAGCGUGGGUAGCAAACAGGAUUAGAUACCCUAGUAGUC